UACGUAGGGUGCGAGCGUUGUCCGGAAUUACUGGGCGUAAAGAGCUCGUAGGUGGUUUGUCGCGUUGUUCGUGAAAAACUCACAGCUUAACUGUGGGCGUGCGGGCGAUACGGGCAGACUGGAGUACUGCAGGGGAGACUGGAAUCCUGGUGUGAGCGGCUGGAAUGCGCAGAUAUCAGGGAGGAACACCGGUGGGCGAAAGGCGGGUCUCUGGGCCGCAACUGACGC
rnacentral:rRNA from 1 species